rnacentral:misc_RNA from 1 species
GAUGAAGAACGCAGCGAAAUGCGAUAAGUAGUGUGAAUUGCAGAAUUCAGUGAAUCAUCGAAUCUUUGAACGCACAUUGCGCCCGCCAGUAUUCUGGCGGGCAUGCCUGUUCGAGCGUCAUUUCAACCAUCAAGCCCCCGGCUUGUGUUGGGGACCUGCGGCUGCCGCAGGCCCUGAAAACCAGUGGCGGGCUCGCUGUCACACCGAGCGUAGUAGAUUUUCAUCUCGCUCAGGGCGUGCUGCGGGUUCCGGCCGUAAAAAGCCUUAUUUACCCAAGGUUGACCUCGGAUCAGGUAGGAAGACCCGCUGAACUUAAGCAUAUCAAUAAGCGGAGGA